AGGCUUGAAUCCCGUCGCGCGCCGUCCUAUAUCAGGGAUGUUCCGGGCAACCGGGACUAUGGCGAUAAACGCACCCAUAAUAAGCGGCUCGGACCCGGGGGCGGUACCCGGCGACUCCACCAAUCCACCCGGCAUUGCGGGGGCAUGGGGUCGAAAUAGGAUCGACGAACGUCUAAAGGGGCCAGCUUUCGCUCGGUGAGCUACCACCGUUACCGGUGCAAAAGUACAGUUGCCAAUGACAACCGUGCUCCGAUGGCUCUGGCUGCGUAAGCAGUUCGAGGUAUCGAAACUAAGUCCUUGCGGGUAGCACCGUAAGGCGGGGUUCGCAGGUACCUGGCAACAGAAACCUGCACC
rnacentral:tmRNA from 1 species